UACGUAGGGCGCAAGCGUUGUCCGGAAUUAUUGGGCGUAAAGAGCUCGUAGGCGGUCUGUUACGUCCGCUGUGAAAACCCAGGGCUUAACCCUGGGCUUGCAGUGGAUACGGGUAGACUAGAGGCAGGUAGGGGAGAAUGGAAUUCCCGGUGUAGCGGUGAAAUGCGCAGAUAUCGGGAGGAACACCGGUGGCGAAGGCGGUUCUCUGGGCCUGACCUGACGCUCAUGCACGAAAGCGUGGGGAGCAAACAGG
rnacentral:rRNA from 1 species